rnacentral:lncRNA from 1 species
GAGCAGCAGAUGGGCGGAAUGGAAUGGCGGGGCGAGAGCGGCUCAGCCUGCCGUGGUGGGACGUGCGGCAGCAUGGCUGACAGCUCCAGGCAGCGAGCACCAUGGCGUCCUCCUCUGCGUUUCCAGAUGUCUCCAGAUCAGCGCUGGAUGCCUUUCCAAUAGUCAAAUACAAGCAAUUCAUUUCACAGAAUAUCUGUGGUUUGAAAUUCAGAGGAAGAUAAAAAUGGCUUACCCUGGCCUUCAGAGCUCUAAGUAUCACAGAUAGGAAAUCCUGGAAUCCUGGAUGUAAGUGUAAUUGAGGUGUACGCAGGAAAAGACACUUCGCGUUGUGAAAAGUAACUAUUCUUUUCAAACCUUUUCUCUUUUUAUUCUGUUGGCUACACCCAAGAAGUCAUACGCAUAUCAGAGAAUGUUACUGUUCAGAUCAGAUCUAUUGACAUAAUUAACUUAUUUGCAAACAGUUUCAUGUAUUUUUGUCUGAGUCUGCCUUCCUGCAUACACCAAAACUACCCUGAUUCAGCUCCUAGUGAAUUAGGGUGGUGUACAGCAAAUAAAGGAACAAUCAUUGAGUCCAAACAUAUUUGCAUUCUUAAUAUGGUGCGCACAUUCAGGCAAGAGGCAAUUUGCAUGAAGACCAUGAGCCAAAUGCAGUUCUGACAGUAGCAGGCAUAACUUUAUUCAAAUCAGACAAGCAGCAGGCAUUUACAAGGGGCCAGAAUAGGUGCUGUGUGCUUGCUGCACGUCCAUGCUCAGCAUAAUGCACUGCUCUUGAUCAAAACCUCACAUUUUCCAUAGAUGGACCAAUGCUUAUCAGAACUGAAUACAAAUUUCAGCUGUAGGAUGGGGUGUACACUUGCAGUACCUGACAAAAUGUAUAGUUUGCUUUUAAGCCUCGCUUUCAGUGUGAAGAGUAAUUCAUACUUUUAAAAAACACCCUCUUUUCAAGCUUUCAUUGCAUGGAUUAGCUGAGAAGCAGCAUGCCAGGAUGCCUCUGGCCACCUUCAAAACCUCCUUGUAAACUCAGGCACAAGCAGAAUCAGCUUCACUUCGUCCCAAGUAUUAGUGCUUUGUUUUAAAGUUGCAGUUUUCUGAGUGUUGCUCCUAAUACUUUAAUGGUGGUUGUAUACCCCAGUGCUGGUGCUGUGUCUUGCUGCGUUUCAGCAAAUGUUGUGAGGAAUCUACAGCAAUUAGCUGUUCAUGCCUCUGCUUUCCUGUUUUGUGCCUUCUCUUUCAUGUAUCAGAUGUUUGUAAGUUUUCCAUUAGAUAUUUCCUGCUUCUAAUAGAUGUUUGUGAGGCUCUUGCUUUGAGCUAUCAAGGCUCCAAUUUGUGCUGAGAUGUUUGGUUUUGGUUUAGGGCUGAGAGGUCUUUGUACUCCUUUCUUCCUAGAAAACAUUAUAAUCUGGAAAAAAUAAAUAAAUUGUACUUUGCAAAAAGUGAAUAUGACUCCUUCAUCUAAAUGGCAUGGUUUGCACAUGUGUCUUUUGUCAGCGGAUCACUCCUAAAAUAAAAGCACUUAAACUGCAGUUUCUGCCAACUUAUCAGACACCAAUUGGUGACAAUAUAUAUGUAGUGCAGUUUCUAAAGGCAGCUUUGUACUUCAGUGUUUUCAUCUUCUUUGCCGUGUUUUUUUUUUUUUUUUUUUUU